rnacentral:rRNA from 1 species
CAACAGGGAUUGCCUUAGUAACGGCGAGUGAAGCGGCAAAAGCUCAAAUUUGAAAUCUGGCACCUUCGGUGUCCGAGUUGUAAUUUGAAGAAGGUAACUUUGGRRUUGGCUCUUGUCUAAGUUCCUUGGAACAGGACGUCACAGAGGGUGAGAAUCCCGUGCGAUGAGAUGCCCAAUUCUAUGUAAAGUGCUUUCGAAGAGUCGAGUUGUUUGGGAAUGCAGCUCUAAGUGGGUGGUAAAUUCCAUCUAAAGCUAAAUAUUGGCGAGAGACCGAUAGCGAACAAGUACAGUGAUGGAAAGAUGAAAAGAACUUUGAAAAGAGAGUGAAAAAGUACGUGAAAUUGUUGAAAGGGAAGGGCUUGAGAUCAGACUUGGUAUUUUGCAUUCCUUACCUUCGUGGUGGGGUUCCUUGCAGUUUACUGGGCCAGCAUCGGUUUGGAUGGUGGGAUAAUGACAUUGGAAUGUGGCUCUGCUUCGGUAGAGUGUUAUAGCCAGUGUUGAUACCGCCUGUCUAGACCGAGGACUGCGUCUUUGACUAGGAUG